UACGGAAGGUCCGGGCGUUAUCCGGAUUUAUUGGGUUUAAAGGGAGCGCAGGCCGUGGGUUAAGCGUGUCGUGAAAUUCCGUCGCUCAACGGCGGACGUGCGGCGCGAACUGGUCCACUUGAGUACGCGGGACGUUGGCGGAAUUCGUGGUGUAGCGGUGAAAUGCUUAGAUAUCACGAAGAACUCCGAUUGCGAAGGCAGCUGACGGUAGCGCAACUGACGCUGAGGCUCGAAAGUGUGGGUAUCGAACAGG
rnacentral:rRNA from 1 species